CUGUAUUAAAAGACGAUCUACAAAAUGAACGUGUUGCUCGUUUUGGUGAUCCUAGUUGGGUUAUUUGCUCCCCAACAAUCAGUAAGAUUAGACGAAUUUAAACCUGCAGUUGAUUGUGCACAUAAGGAAAAUGUGUCGGAGAAGCAGAUUUUUGAUUAUUUAUAUUCAGACAAAAAAAUAGUGAAAGAUCACAAAAUCAAGUGCUUCUUAAGCUGUUACUUUAACAGUGAAGCCUUAUUUAAAACGGCCAUUGAAGAAUUGAAAAAGAAAAAAAUGGACAACCCAUGUCUUUCCAUCAAGGAUGCUGAUAGGUGCGAGGAAGGUUUUAAGAAAUUUACAUGCUAUUACCAAGGAAUUAAAUAAAGCAACUACAUUUAUUUCAAACUUCAAAGAAA